AGCUAAUAAUUUAUAGAGCUCCAAACGGAGACUAAAAAGUAGAGAGUUCCUCCGUAUGUAGGUGAAAUGCGAGAAACUGAUGUUGGAAUGACUUUCCAAAGAAUACAUUGAUUUUGUUGUUGUUGCUGUUGUUGCCAGAACGUCUAACGAUAAUAGCUGUACAGAUAAAAUAGAACAUGGAACGGAAAGGACAUUCGAAAGACAAGGUGAUCACCGAUUGCCAAUUGCCAUUGGCCAUGGUUCUUUACUUUUCCUUGGUCCCUUUGCCUACUCCAUCCUGAUCACAAUCAUACUAGCACCCACGGGCACGGCCACGGACCACGGUCCACCACGGCGCUGCUGUCUCGAAGCCACGUCAGCGUCACGCGGCUGAUGAUGGGGGGCGCCGCAGCGCACUCAAUGCCACGCGGGGCUCACCCCGGAAGCAUGCGCGGGGAGGGCCCACGACGUCCGUCCGUCUCCGUCCUCGGCCCGCGGCCGCGGGGCCAUGAGCGCGGACCGCCAGACCGGGUCCACCUCGCCGUCGGCGGCCGCGGCGAGCCACGCGUCGACCCCCUCGAGGAGCGCGCGCCUGCCGGUCGGCGGAGACACCAGCCGGUCCCCCGGCACGCCGAUGGCCGCGGCGCCCCCGUCGACGAGGGAGCGGAAGAAGACGUCGCGCAGCUCCCACGGCCCCGCGGCGGACACGCCCAGCCCGCCGCUGCACUCCUGCCAGGGGAACUGGAAAACCCCCGGCGGCCGCCGCGACGCCUCCCCGCCGUCGUCGCCCUCCCCCGCCGUCGCCGCGGCCUCCUCGAAUGGGAAGUCCGGCGGCGCGGCGUGGACCUCCUCCUCCCUCGCGCCGCGCUUCGCCUUGCACACCGGCUGCCGCUGGUCGUCCAUGCACGCGCACUGCGCCGCGUCAGAAAUCCAUAAUUCAGAGGAAGAAGAAGAAGGAAUCACCGCCAUCGACACACAUGCAUGAUGCGUAUGCAUCGUCAUUGGAUGGUAUAUGGUAGUACCUCGUACGAUCGAGAAGGCAGCAGAGAGAGAGAGAGCAGGAUCGGGUGGGAGAGGUUUUGCGCGCUG
rnacentral:lncRNA from 1 species